AGAGUUUGAUCAUGGCUCAGAUUGAACGCUGGCGGCAGGCCUAACACAUGCAAGUCGAGCGGUAGCACAGAGAGCUUGCUCUCGGGUGACGAGCGGCGGACGGGUGAGUAAUGUCUGGGAAACUGCCUGAUGGAGGGGGAUAACUACUGGAAACGGUAGCUAAUACCGCAUAACGUCGCAAGACCAAAGUGGGGGACCUUCGGGCCUCAUGCCAUCAGAUGUGCCCAGAUGGGAUUAGCUAGUAGGUGGGGUAAUGGCUCACCUAGGCGACGAUCCCUAGCUGGUCUGAGAGGAUGACCAGCCACACUGGAACUGAGACACGGUCCAGACUCCUACGGGAGGCAGCAGUGGGGAAUAUUGCACAAUGGGCGCAAGCCUGAUGCAGCCAUGCCGCGUGUGUGAAGAAGGCCUUCGGGUUGUAAAGCACUUUCAGCGGGGAGGAAGGCGGUGAGGUUAAUAACCUCACCGAUUGACGUUACCCGCAGAAGAAGCACCGGCUAACUCCGUGCCAGCAGCCGCGGUAAUACGGAGGGUGCAAGCGUUAAUCGGAAUUACUGGGCGUAAAGCGCACGCAGGCGGUCUGUCAAGUCGGAUGUGAAAUCCCCGGGCUCAACCUGGGAACUGCAUUCGAAACUGGCAGGCUAGAGUCUUGUAGAGGGGGGUAGAAUUCCAGGUGUAGCGGUGAAAUGCGUAGAGAUCUGGAGGAAUACCGGUGGCGAAGGCGGCCCCCUGGACAAAGACUGACGCUCAGGUGCGAAAGCGUGGGGAGCAAACAGGAUUAGAUACCCUGGUAGUCCACGCCGUAAACGAUGUCGAUUUGGAGGUUGUGCCCUUGAGGCGUGGCUUCCGGAGCUAACGCGUUAAAUCGACCGCCUGGGGAGUACGGCCGCAAGGUUAAAACUCAAAUGAAUUGACGGGGGCCCGCACAAGCGGUGGAGCAUGUGGUUUAAUUCGAUGCAACGCGAAGAACCUUACCUGGUCUUGACAUCCACAGAACUUUCCAGAGAUGGAUUGGUGCCUUCGGGAACUGUGAGACAGGUGCUGCAUGGCUGUCGUCAGCUCGUGUUGUGAAAUGUUGGGUUAAGUCCCGCAACGAGCGCAACCCUUAUCCUUUGUUGCCAGCGGUUAGGCCGGGAACUCAAAGGAGACUGCCAGUGAUAAACUGGAGGAAGGUGGGGAUGACGUCAAGUCAUCAUGGCCCUUACGACCAGGGCUACACACGUGCUACAAUGGCAUAUACAAAGAGAAGCGACCUCGCGAGAGCAAGCGGACCUCAUAAAGUAUGUCGUAGUCCGGAUUGGAGUCUGCAACUCGACUCCAUGAAGUCGGAAUCGCUAGUAAUCGUAGAUCAGAAUGCUACGGUGAAUACGUUCCCGGGCCUUGUACACACCGCCCGUCACACCAUGGGAGUGGGUUGCAAAAGAAGUAGGUAGCUUAACCUUCGGGAGGGCGCUUACCACUUUGUGAUUCAUGACUGGGGUGAAGUCGUAACAAGGUAACCGUAGGGGAACCUGCGGUUGGAUCACCU
rnacentral:rRNA from 1 species